UGUCUGAGUUUCCUAUUCAACAGCUUUUACCUUGAGAGUUGUCCCCAGUAGUCAAUGUGGGACAAGUAUGAUUCCAGUAGAAAAACCUCAACACUGCUGGCUUGAUGAAUCUGAAUGGAGUUUGGAGCAACUACAUCCCUUGCAAAGUGGGAUUCCAGAAAGGAAUUCAGAAAGGAGAGUCAGAGAAGGGAAGCCUCAGAUUCCAUAUAGACACUCUCUCUGAGUCUCUGGCUGACCCUUGCAUGACACAUGUAUGACUCAAACACAUGCAUUGUGUGAACAACAAGCAGCCCUGGAAAGAUGUUAAAAAUAAACUUAGAAGGGAAACAAAACAGAAUUUUCAGUUUGGGUGAAGUUAACUUACUAGCCUACAAAAACACAGAACUCUUUAGAGGAACAUAAUAGGCCUAGAGUUUUAAUGAGAUGUCAUUCACAAUGCCUAAGAUAUAAGCCAAAAAGACUCAACAUAAGAAGAAAUAGGGAAACAUAAGCCAGUCCAUGCAAAAAAGACAAUGAAUAGAGACCACCUCUACUCAUAGCUGUCCAAACUAGACAUAAGCAGAUAGUAUUUGUAUGUUCACAGCUGUAAAAGAAAAUCUCAUAGAGACAGAAUCUCAGCAGAAAAACAGAAACUAUAAAAAAGCUAAUGGAAAUUAAAGAACUGAGAAGUACUAUAUUUAAAAUAAAAAAUGUCAGUGGAUGUGGUUAAAAGCAAAAAUAAAGAUGACAUAGGAAAGAGUCCAUGAAUUUGCAGAUACUUCAAUAGAAAUGAAGGACAGAAAGGAAAGACCUUUGAGAGGUCCCUCCGUGGCCUGCAAGAUGCUUGGAAGAUCUACCGAAUAUGUGACUGGAGCCCCAGAGAAAGGCAGAAAAGAACAACGAAAACGCAUUAGAAGAAAUAAUGGCUAGGAACUCACCAAAGUCAAUGAAAGUUUGUGCAUGUAACAACUGGUUGAUUUUCACACGUUAAACUAACUUUGCUUCGCAUUUCUGAGCUAAAUCCUAUUUGGACACAAAAGUACAGAGGGAUUUUUGUCGGCUUCACUGCAAGAAUCUUGUCGAGCUCUUGAAGGCAAAGCUCCCAGAGCUGUGGGCCACCCAUCACUGAGGACCUCUGGAGGUUCUAACGCUGAGACUUGCCCACACUGAGCCUCUGGCAACAUGUCAGCUGCAGUUGGGAUUGUCCUGCCCAGCACUGGGUCCCUCCAGGUAUCCGCUCGGGUGAGCCGUGCUUCUCAGUCACUGCCUGUCCGAGCCUCCAGUUGCGGGCGGCAGUUUGCCCGUGAUCUCACCUCUACUCAAAGCACGGAGGCUUGUUCAUUCAGCUUCCUCCUGAUCGUUAGGGCGGAGUGAUGACUUCGGAGCUCCUUCCAUGCCGGACCCAUAACUGGAAGUCCUGUCCUCUUCCUUGCUCACAUUUCGAAUAAACUUCUGAUA